rnacentral:tRNA from 1 species
UCCUUCUUAGCUCAGUUGGUAGAGCGCGUCACUAGUAAUCCUGGUAUGACGAGGUCAGUCGUUCAAGUCGGCUAGAAGGAA